AUGUUGACUGAAAGUGUAAUGUUACAGGUAAUGAUAGCAUUUGAAGACCUGGCUGUGUACUUUAUGUGGGAGGAAUGGCAGAAAAUGAACAAUGCUCAGAAAACCCUGUGAUGCUGGAGACCUACAGCAAGCUCUUCUCCUUGGGGCACUGCACUACCAAACCUGACUUGAUCUUCAAGUUGGAGCGAGGAGCAGAGCCAUGGAUGGUGGAAGAAUGCCUGAAUCAGAGCCUUUCAGAGAUCACUCUACAGCCUGUGUGCAUAGCAGCCUGAAAUGCCAAACCUGAACCCAGUCUCUGAAAGCUGACCCUCUACAAACCAACUUCAGCACCUUUCCCUGAACAAGCCAUUCAUAGAAAGAUCCUCUUCAGAUCAGCUACAGCUUAAAUGGAAGGGACCUUACCAGGUGCUACUGAACAUGACUACCUCAGUAAAAUUAGGAUUAAACGUCUACCUCUCAAGUCAUCACAGGUGUACUCAAAAGACAUGCCUGAUUAUUCCUGUAAGCCAGAGAUCUUAAGCAAAAAGAAAAGUAAAUCCUUUGCUUUCCUCACAUCAAGAGUGCUGCGCCUGAAGGCAGGCAUGGUGUACCUGCCUCUUCUGAUUCUGUUAUUAACA